rnacentral:rRNA from 1 species
AUGGACCGCGGCCGCUGCGAUGGCCAGCAGGUCAUGCACGACAUGUUCGUCGUGUUCUUCGGCUGGGCGGACGACCUAGAGGCCCUCGAGCUCGCCAGGAAGAGGGCCGAGGCGCUGAGCACCCCGGCAUGUAGAUCACCGUGGUGCGCUUCCUCGAUGGGAAGGCCGCCAGCCAGGAGCACAUGGAAGUCGCACUGCUUCCGUCCGACGCCAGGAACGGUGAGAAGAGCUACACCUUCUAACGCUUCAAGCUCUGGAUGGUCGCCGGCGACGCGACGCGGUCGACGGCCUCGACAGCUCCUCCUUUCGUCUCCCCGCGCACUUCCUCGCUCGCCGUGUAGGACGGACUGGCGGCGCCCAGGUCGCCGACUGCUGCCAGUGCCAGGACAGGCAAGCUACAUGUACGCUGAGCUCGCCAAGGAGUUGCGCGCCGCAGAGGACCGCGUCGGAGCCUCCGACGAUCUUCCCAUCCUACCCGCGGACGCUUCGAGCUCGCGACCUUCCAGGCCGACAGCGCCCCGCCGUCCCGUGUCAUCUCACCACCGACUCGACGUUGCGUUCGCCCAGGCCGUCGUCGCCUUGUCAUCCAGCGACAUCGAAGCCCUUCGGCUCGCGUCGUCGUCGUGGAGAGAUGCUAUCUCGGAGAGGCUCGAGCCGAAGCUAACGGGAGAAGGCGCCCCUGCUCCUUGA